GGGUUUGGAAAGAGAAAAUUUUGGAAGAUCUCCCUGGAGCAUUGUGACAGAACAGGCUGACCCAGGUCUGACCCAUUUUAUGGAGCUUGGAUGAAAAUCUAAAGCCUUGCCUGCAGAUGCUGCAGAGCACCUCUAGCUGCUAGGCACAAAAACAAACCACAGGAGGGUGCAUUACAGGGAUUUUUGACCACCAGCAAGUCCUACCCAGGCAGAAAGAGCAUGGAUGCAACAUUAGAGUGUAGUCAGGUGGUGGUGAGAGAGAGACGUGGCACCAGGCAUCGGUCCUCUACUACAAAUCCUGCCUGUGCCAAUCUAAAAAAAAUAAUACUCAUCUUUGCCUGAAGUUUCUGAGCCUUACUGAUAAAUUGGACUGCAGUAUUAAGUUACAGACUGCUAAACUACAAGCUUAUCUCUCCAAAUUCAUGGCAGAAGACGUCAACUACUGUGUCAGCGAACUCCAGCAGCUACUAAAGAGGAUAAACCCGCAAACUUCUCUAAUUCUUGCCUCUUUAUUUAUCUGAAAGAAAUUCAGUUUCCUGUCAUGCAAUAGCUUUCUGAAAGGAAAUUAAAACUGCAUCAUGUGUUUGCAGAGCUAAGUAAACAAGUCAGAGGGACUCCAACUUAGUGUAACGAUGUGGGGCUCCUGCACAUGAAGGACCACACUCCAGGCUACACCACUUGAGGUACCAGCUGAUGGGGAAAAUUAUAUCUGGAAAGCGACCCUGCCACUCCGCAGCUGAAUGAGUACGUCAAAUAACUAUGGCUUUUGAGGAGCUACAAGACUUCAAAGGAUUUGAAAAUGUGUGAAAUUCUGGUCCCUGUGAUAGAGGAGAUGAAGAAUACAUUUUAAAAACACAGUGUUUUUAAACUCUAUAGAAAGGAGAGCUAUUUUUAAAAAGGAUGUAAGAGGCCUUUAGGACACAAGUAGAAGCCAUUAUGCCCAGCAAAGCUCAAUUCCUUCUGUUCUGCACUAUGAACAUCUCUAAUGAUUUUCUGAAUGACCUCUUUGUUUGUCUGCGCAAUCUUGCUGGCUAGAAACUAGUCCAUUUGUAACUUUUAAAAUAUAAUUUAUAUAAAUGCCUCAUUAUCCUAUUAUCUGCAUUAGACUGGAAACACUAACUUGAAAAGGCAUUACCUGUAGCAUUUAAGAUAUCAUAAAUUAACUGAGUUCUCCUAAGCCAGCUAUAUUUUGCAGCCUCCUAAUACACAUCACUAUUCUCCUUUUAAAAAUCUGGGAUCAAUAUAACUACCACUCUUUCAAUUUUUCAACUGCUACAAGAUAUUUUUGUAAUAUAGUGAUAUAUUCUAAAGUGAACUACUACCACAGACUGCUAUAAUUAAACCUAUGAUCUUCCUUUUCAGGAAGAUUAUACUUUUCAAUUAUACUUGCUUUGUUUAAGUAGAUCUCCCUUUGUGAGCUUUCAAAAGAAAUUUCC
rnacentral:lncRNA from 1 species